GUCUACGGCCCUGCCACCCUGAACACGCCCCAUCCUGUCUGAUCUUGGAAGCUAAUAAGCAGGGUCGGGCCUGGUUAGUACUCGGAUGGGAGACCACCUAGGAAGACCAGGUGCUGUGGGCA
rnacentral:rRNA from 1 species